AAUGAAAUGAUUGUUGGAUAAUUUUUUGCAAAUUCAAAAUCUCCUUGACUUUGGCCUCAGGAAUACCUUGAUGGGGCCCCUUUUGAUUUGCAAGAUGCUGCCUCUGCAGCCGUUGGGUGUCAACUUGCUGACUUUGCUUCCGCUGGCGGGAGGUGGCUUUGGCUAGUGGUUUCUUUUCGGCCUGGGUAUAAUUAUAGGUCUGGGUGUGAACCGUGCCUGAGUCUGCAAGCGUCUGGCACCCUCUCUGCAUGCACAAGCCACCGGUGGGUGCUUCCUCGCAUCGCCGAGAACCUAGACGAAAGCCGGUAACGCUUGGGUCCGGCCCCGGACUGGCUGCUCCUGUGCUUGUCUGCACCUCCUCUGCCUGUCGACGCCUGCGGAGCGUGCUCCCAGCUGUGGCCCUGUCCGUCCUCCUCCUCCAGCUCCCGGUCAGGCCAGAUGGCCUUCCUUCAUCGCCAUCAUCCCCGCAGUCCCCGAUGACGACGCCACCACAGGCCCCAGCAGGGCGGCCUUGUCUCCGAGCCCCGGCCCUCCGGGAUGUGCUCCUCUGCAAAAGCGGGUUCUCCGGGCCCAGCAUGGCCAUCAGAGCUCGGUCUUUUACGUAAUUACGUGAGUGCGUGUUGCCGUAGAGAAAAUAGGGGCCCCUGCAUUUGAUUUCAGAUACGUGAGAAAAUCUGGAAACACUUGUAACAGGUCAAUCACAUAUUAGUGCACCAGUCACAUCUAUUAAUUGCCUUUCUGUGUAAUUGUCGCAGAGUGCCGUGCAGAUUUUUGUCCGUAAGUAAAAUAACACGUAUGUUUUGUUAGAUAAGUUUUGUUGGAUUUUUAUUUAUUUACAACCCUGGGCUCUACCCGAUUAAACCUCCUGCUUCCUGGAGCGCUAUCAGAUAUUUAUUCUGUUCCAGCUGAGGCCCGCCAGCUCAUGUUGGUUUGAACUAACAUACCUUUGCUUUGCUGGGAAAUGUCCCAGAAAGAGUUCAUGACCUUGAGGCUGAGUCAGAGGGAGGAGGCUUUCUCCAGUCGCUCUUAAAAGGAGCUGGAGUUUGCAGAAGUGAAAAUGGAAUGAGGGGCUGCCCACCCAGGCAAAGUGCGGCGGGGGCAGAUUUUGUGGGUGUCUGUGGCCCAGGCUUCUGUUAUUAUGGGAAGAAAAGCUUGAUGAGUUUAUAUUGUGAUUUAUGUUGCCUAAUUAACAGGUUUGAAUUAAUUAAUUUCGUUUGUUAGCGUAGCUUUUUUUCUUAAGAAACAGUACACGACAUCCAGUUAGGUAUUCUAUUUUUGGAUGGGGUCCCUGCCUAUGGAGAGGGCUGCUGGUGAGCACCCAUGGGACUCACCCCGAUAUCCAGGUGAUUCCGCAGAGCAGGGCCCAGGCCCCACUCCUGAGGAGGGCAAGUUAAUGGGGUGCUAGUACUAGAGUACUAGAAGGGGGAAGGGGGGGCUCCUGAGGGGUGUGCACUCCUGAAAAAGGAAGGGAGGGGAAAGAAAUCUGCUGAAAUGCAGAGCCGUGGGGGCCAAGGAAGCCCGUGCUGCCCCGUAAGCAUGUCGAAUCACGCCUCAGCCGUGCCGGGGUGCCCGCCGGGCAGGUGCCUGCUUCACUUGGGCUGCACCCCAGCUACGGUAAUCAGCCAGGCACUGAGGCUUAACCCCUCCUUGUCCUUGGUUGUGGCCCUUUGACUAAGUGAGAGAUGACAGAUGCUUGACAGCAAAACUAGCCUAACUGCACACCGUCCUCAAACAGUUAUUUAUUUUCCAGCUCUGGCCAACUUUCUGAACUAGAAGGAAGGCAGGUGGCUUUUUGAAAAUGAAACAUAGAUUCUAUCCCCUGAAGUUUUACCGCAUGUUUGAGGGGAAAGAGCCGACUGUCGUGUCUGAAGGGCUCUCUCUGAAGGUGCGCCUGUGUUUUUGAUGUUGGGUACUGCAGCGGGACAGAAAAGCCAGAAGUCUGCGGAGACCACAUGGGAAGGCACGGCGUGCUCCGGGAAGGCUCUUCCGGGUGGGCUCCCACCAUCUCCGUGGUGGCCGUCUGCAGGAAGAAAUGAGGCUGUGGGAAAGAAUGAGAACACUGGACCCAGGCAUUCUGAGAUUCAGUCUUGGGUCUCACAGGGUUGUGAGUUUAGGCAAUUGACUUGAUCUCUCUGAGCCUCAAUCUCCUCAACUGUAAAAUGGGCAUUGUGGGGAUUGCAUGAAAUGAAGUGUAUUAGUCAGCUACCACUGACUAACAAAUUGCCCCAAACUUAAUGGACUUGAAACAGGUGUUAUCUCACAGUGUCGGUGGAUAGGGGAUCCAGAUGCCGCCUGAGAGCUCAGCUGAGGAAGGACCCGAGUCGGAGCUCACUCACGCGUCUGCCGGCUGGCUGCAGUGUCUCAUGGGCUGUUGGACCGAGGCUGCAGAUCCUCACGACCUGCUGGCUGGAGGCUGCCCUCUGUUCUGCCACGUGGACAUGGCACGGCACCUGGCUCCAGUGGAGUGAGGGAGACUGAAAAUUCAGAGAGAGCGAGCGAGCUCGAGCAAGAGCCAGCAAGAAGGCAGUAUCGUUUUUUUACAACCUAACCUUGGAAGUGAUAUCCCUGUUAAAAGCCUGUUAAAUGGAGACCCCCAUUCAGUCCACACACAGAGAGGGAGUGAUCCAAGUGUGUAAAUACCAGGAGGCAGAGAUUACCUGAGGCCAUUUAUGAUGCAAACAUAAAGUGCCUAUCAUUGCACCACACUGUGAGUUGGUGCUCCUUAACCGCAGCAGACCUAGAUUUGCAGAGUUUCAGUGUGGCAGUGGAAACGCUGCUUGGAUCAGGUAUGACCUAUGGUCCUUGGGAAUCUUCCAGAAGCUACCCAGAGCCGCUUAGCUUUUUCUAUCUUCCCCAAGGUGGA
ensembl:lincRNA